AUUGAACGCUGGCGGCAGGCCUAACACAUGCAAGUCGGGCGCGCGGCGGACGGGUGAGUAAUGUAUGGGGAUCUGCCUGAUGGAGGGGGAUAACUACUGGAAACGGUAGCUAAUCCCGCAUACCAUCAGCUGAACCCAUAUUGGGUUAGCUUGUAGGUAAGGUAACGGCUUACCUAGGCGACGAUCCCUAGCUGGUCUGAGAGGAUGAUCGGCCACACUGGGACUGAGACACGGCCCAGACUCCUACGGGAGGCAGCAGUGGGGAAUAUUGCACAAUGGGCGCAAGCCUGAUGCAGCAAUGCCGCGUGUGUGAAGAAGGCCUUCGGGUUGUAAAGUACUUUCAGUCGGGAGGCGUUACCGACAGAAGAAGCACCGGCUAACUCCGUGCCAGUCGCCGCGGUAAUAC
rnacentral:rRNA from 1 species